rnacentral:misc_RNA from 1 species
AAGUCGUAACAAGGUCUCCGUUGGUGAACCAGCGGAGGGAUCAUUACCGAGUUAUACAACUCCCAAACCCAUGUGAACUUACCUGUCGUUGCUUCGGCGGACCGCCCCGGGUGCCCAACGGCCCCGGAUCCACGGCGCCCGCCGGGGGCUCGAAACACUCUUGUUUUCUUCUACGCAGAUUUCUGAGUGGCAUUUAUUACAAAUAAAUCAAAACUUUCAACAACGGAUCUCUUGGUUCUG